CGUAUUAUAGCUUAACUAAAGCAUCUCGCUUACACCGAGAAUAUGUCCGUUAAAACCAGACUUUUGCGA
rnacentral:tRNA from 1 species